rnacentral:rRNA from 1 species
GACGUAGGGCGCGAGCGUUGUCCGGAUUUAUUGGGCCUAAAGAGCGUGUAGGCGGCUAGGUAGGUCCGUUGUGAAAACUCGAGGCUCAACCUCGAGCUGUCGAUGGAAACCAUCUGGCUAGAGUCCGGAAGAGGAGAGUGGAAUUCCUGGUGUAGCGGUGAAAUGCGCAGAUAUCAGGAAGAACACCCGUGGCGAAGGCGGCUCUCUGGUACGUGACUGACGCUGAGACGCGAAAGCGUGGGGAGCGAACAGG